AGUUAAUGAGCUUGAAAAGCCUAUACUUUGAAAGUAUAUUAUAGAAGUAAAACCUCCUAUUAACUU
rnacentral:tRNA from 1 species